AAAGACUUAGUCCUAACCUUACCAUUAGUUUCUACUAGACAUAUACAUGCAAGUAUCCGCGCCCCAGUGUAAAUGCCCUUAAUUCCUGUAAACCAUAGGUAAAGGAGCCGGCAUCAGGCACGCCCAUCGCAGCCCAAGACGCCUUGUUUAGCCACACCCCCACGGGUACUCAGCAGUAAUUAACAUUAAGCAAUAAGUGUAAACUUGACUUAGUUAUAGUAGCACUCAGGGUUGGUAAAUCUUGUGCCAGCCACCGCGGUCACACAAGAAACCCAAAUUAAUAGUACGCGGCGUAAAGAGUGGACCCAUGACUAUCAUAAUAACUAAGGCUGAAAAGUAACUGAGCUGUCAUAAGCUUAAGAUACAUUUAAAAUCACCCUAAAAAUGACCUUAGCUCUUACGAUCGAUUAAAUUCCACGAAAGCCAGGGUACAAACUGGGAUUAGAUACCCCACUAUGCUUGGCCCUAAAUCCUGAUGCUUAACCCACUAAAGCAUCCGCCUGAGGACUACGAGCACAAACGCUUAAAACUCUAAGGACUUGGCGGUGCCCCAAACCCACCUAGAGGAGCCUGUUCUAUAAUCGACAACCCACGCUACACCCGACCACUUCUUGCAAAAGCCAGCCUACAUACCGCCGUCGCCAGCUCACCUCUACUGAGAGCACAGCAGUGAACACAAUCGCCCUAACCCCGCUAGUACGACAGGUCAAGGUAUAGCCCAUGAAGUGGAAGAAAUGGGCUACAUUUUCUAAUUUAGAAAACCCUCAUACAACGAAAGGGAACGUGAAACAAUUCCCAGAAGGCGGAUUUAGCAGUAAAGCAGGACAACAAAGCCCCCUUAAAAUUGGCUCUGAGGCACGUACAUACCGCCCGUCACCCUCCUCACAAGCUUAAAACCACCCAUAAAUAAUGCAUCUAUCUGCCAAAGAUGAGGUAAGUCGUAACAAGGUAAGUGUACCGGAAGGUGCACUUAGUACAC
rnacentral:ncRNA from 1 species